ensembl:miRNA microRNA 18
UGAGUGCUUUUUGUACUAAGGUGCAUCUAGUGCAGAUAGUGAAGUCGACUAGCAUCUACUGCCCUAAGUGCUCCUUCUGGCAUAAGAAGUUGUGUC